AGUGAACGCUGGCGGUAGGCCUAACACAUGCAAGUCGAACGGCAGCACAGUAAGAGCUUGCUCUUACGGGUGGCGAGUGGCGGACGGGUGAGGAAUACAUCGGAAUCUACUUUUUCGUGGGGGAUAACGUAGGGAAACUUACGCUAAUACCGCAUACGACCUACGGGUGAAAGCAGGGGAUCUUCGGACCUUGCGCGAUUGAAUGAGCCGAUGUCGGAUUAGCUAGUUGGCGGGGUAAAGGCCCACCAAGGCGACGAUCCGUAGCUGGUCUGAGAGGAUGAGCAGCCACACUGGAACUGAGACGCGGUCCAGAAUCCGACGGAAGGCAGCAGUGGGGAAUAUUGGACAAUGGGCGCAAGCCUGAUCCAGCCAUACCGCGUGGGUGAAGAAGGCCUUCGGGUGGUAAAGCCCUUUUGUUGGGAAAGAAAAGCAGCAGGUUAAUACCCCGCUGUUCUGACGGUACCCAAAGAAUAAGCACCGGCUAACUUCGUG
rnacentral:rRNA from 1 species